rnacentral:rRNA from 1 species
GCUCCGGCGCCGGCGCCGGCGGCCCGGGACUGGUCGGAGCUUCCCCUCGACGUGCUUUCUUUCCUCUACGUCAAGCUCGGCGCCAUCGACGUCCUCAUGGGUGCGGGCCUUGUGUGCCACUCGUGGCUCCAGGCGGCCAAGCUGCCCGACGUGUGGCGAUGCGUGAAGAUGGAGGGCCACAAGUUCGUGCGGAGGCACAAGUAUUCUGCUAGAUUGUUGGCCAUGGCGAAGGUGGCCGUGGACCGCUCUGAUGGGCAAGUUCAAAUGUUUGCCGGAGAGCGGUUUGUUACCAAUGAGCUGCUCAUGUAUAUUGCUGAAAGGUAG